rnacentral:rRNA from 1 species
UACGGAAGGCAGCAGUGGGGAAUAUUGCACAAUGGGCGCAAGCCUGAUGCAGCCAUGCCGCGUGUAUGAAAAAGGCCUUCGGGUUGUAAAGUACUUUCAGUCGUGAGGAAGGUGUUAAGGUUAAUAACCUUAGCAAUUGACGUUAGCAACAGAAGAAGCACCGGCUAACUCCGUGCCAGCAGCCGCGGUAAUACGGAGGGUGCGAGCGUUAAUCGGAAUUACUGGGCGUAAAGGGCACGCAGGCGGUUAAUUAAGUUGGAUGUGAAAUCCCCGGGCUUAACCUGGGAAUGGCAUUCAAGACUGGUUAGCUAGAGUCUUGUAGAGGGGGUAGAAUUCCGAUGUGUAGCGGUGAAAUGCGUAGAGAUGUGGAGGAAUACCGGUGGCGAAGGCGGCCCCUGGACAAAGACUGACGCUCAUGUGCGAAAGCGUGGGGAGCGAAACAGGGAUUAGAUA